CAUGGAUGUUCUGGAGACCGCUUAUACUUUGCUGAUGGCACACAAAUGUCCAUGUUAGAGAUCAGACGGGCGCUGCUACAGCACAGGACACUAGAUGGAAGGCCUAAAAUAAUUAUAGUCCAGGCAUGCCGGGGACAGGACCACCUUGUUGCAUUGAGAGAUGGUAGU